AGUUCGAUGGUGUAGUUGGUUUAUCACUUCUGUCUCACAGUCAACGCAUGUGCACAGGCGGUCCUCAGUUCGAACCUGGGUCGAAUCA